UGGGGAAUUUUGGACAAGGGGGGCAACCCUGAUCCAGCCAUGCCGCGUGCAGGAUGAAGGCCUUCGGGUUGUAAACUGCUUUUGUACGGAACGAAAAGACUCUGGUUAAUACCUGGGUCC
rnacentral:rRNA from 1 species